CUAGCCGUAAACGAUGGAUACUAGGUGUUAGAGGUAUCGACCCCUCUAGUGCCGAAGCUAACGCAUUAAGUAUCCCGCCUGGGGAGUACGGCCGCAAGGUUGAAACUCAAAGGAAUUGACGGGGGCCCGCACAAGCGGUGGAGCAUGUUGCUUAAUUCGUCACUAACCGAAGAACCUUACCAGGGUUUGACAUCCUCCGCAAGUCCAUGAAAGUGGUACCCCCUGCAGCAAUGCAGGCGGAGAGACAGGUGU
rnacentral:rRNA from 1 species